AGCCUGAUGCAGCGACGCCGCGUGAGGGAUGACGGCCUCUCGGGUUGUAAACCUCUUUCAGCAGGGACGAAGCGCAAGUGACGGUACCUGUAGAAGAAGGACCGGCCAACUACGUGCCAGCAGCCGCGGUAAUACGUAGGGUCCGAGCGUUGUCCGGAAUUACUGGGCGUAAAGAGCUCGUAGGUGGUUUGUCGCGUUGUUCGUGAAAACUCACAGCUUAACUGUGGGCGUGCGGGCGAUACGGGCAGACUUGAGUACUGCAGGGGAGACUGGAAUUCCUGGUGUAGCGGUGGAAUGCGCAGAUAUCAGGAGGAACACCGGUGGCGAAGGCGGGUCUCUGGGCAGUAACUGACGCUGAGGAGCGAAAGCGUGGGGAGCGAACAGGAUUAGAUACCCUGGUAGUCCACGCCGUAAACGGUGGGUACUAGGUGUGGGUUUCCUUCCUUGGGAUCCGUGCCGUAGCUAACGCAUUAAGUACCCCGCCUGGGGAGUACGGCCGCAAGGCUAAAACUCAAAGAAAUUGACGGGGGCCCGCACAAGCGGCGGAGCAUGUGGAUUAAUUCGAUGCAACGCGAAGAACCUUACCUGGGUUUGACAUGCACAGGACGUGCCUAGAGAUAGGUAUUCCCUUGUGG
rnacentral:rRNA from 1 species